rnacentral:rRNA from 1 species
AUGACGACACGAACCUGGAAGCACCCCCGGUCGCGGCACGCCCGGGCGAUGUCCUGGACCACGAGCGCCCGCGCGGCGGGGUCCUUGUCGCCGAGCCGGCCAAUGUUGAUCACCGGCAGUGCCCCCGGCGCCGUCGCCGCCGCUCCCCGCUGCUGGUGUUUGUGGUGGCUCGCCAUGCUCCUCGCCAAGAGGCACCCAGAGACGGCAGCAGGCAUGCCUCGAUCGUCUUGGCGCGUCCAACACAGACGGAUAUCGUUCCUUGUUGCUGGCUCUUCUUCUUCUAAGAUGCUUCCGGUGCGUGCUUUCCAUCUGGAUUCCGAGCGCUAG